UGUUCUGUGGCUAAGUUGGUCAAAGUGCAGGCCUAGCGAAUACGGAGUCGUGGGUUCGAAUCCCGCUAGAACGC
rnacentral:tRNA from 1 species